rnacentral:other from 1 species
GUCAGCGAGAGAAUUCCAUUAAAACAAGGAUUGAAAC